rnacentral:misc_RNA from 1 species
GUAUUUUGAAUUGUUUAUUCAUAAUAUUUUUCAGACAAAGAGUUAAAAGAUAAAGGUUGAUGUUUGGUCGAUCUCCAAGAAGAAGAUCGACUGACAUUGCACACAAGGUGGAUAUGGAUUUUUAAAGAGUGCCAUAAAACACUCAUUGUGAAUGAUCCUUCCGCAGGUUCACCUACGGAAA